GUUCCUGAAGCUAUGACUUCAUCACCCUGAACACCCACAGGCAUCAUCAGUAGAGACACGAUCCUCCUUGUCAUUCCCAUAUUCAAAAUAUGUUCCUGCUAGGAGACCAUUCGAACUCCAGGCCCACGAUCAUCUUUCUGGCAAUUUUCGUUGGUUUCGGCGUGGGAUAUCACUUCCUUCUUAUUCUCUUCCUGAUGAUUGAUCAUUGCAGAAAGAAACCAAAGUGUGAAGAGGAAGACUGUCAGGAAAAGGUGAAACUCCUGGAGGAGGAGGAAGAGGAGUCCUAUACUGAAAUCGCUGAGAUCAGAAACUCCAAGAUCUCUCUGGAGGAGAUGGCAUGCCUGUACUGAAACAAGCUGUACUAUGACCCAGGCUGGAGGUUCACAGACCACCACCGUGGUACCCAGAUAGGACCAUAAUGUGCCAUGGCCCCUUUAAUACUUAAGUUCUCCAAUAAUAAACUAUUUGGUCCUACUCA